rnacentral:lncRNA from 1 species
GUCCCAACCUCGCCUUCUCUGAAACCUAACCCCGAAUCCUGCCUCCUCCCCAAUUUUACUUCUCUGAAACCCCCCCACAGCGAUGGGGAAAGACGAAGAGAACAACGGUUUGAUGAGAAAUACUAAUUGGGGAAAGAGCAUGGCUACAGAUCUAUAGCCGCAGGGAAGCUGGUUCAACUUGAUUACUAGUUCGGAAUUUUUCGCUCCGCUAAUUCGUGCUCGAUCUCUGCGCCGCACCUGGUGGCUGGAUUCAAGUAGCUUUCGAGAAGAUGCUGAUGGGCAUUCUAGUAAUUGGAGUCGACUGCAACUCGAUUCAAUCCAUCGAAGGUGCAUUCUCCGUGCGGGAGAGUACUAGGGCCCCCAAGUAUAAGGACGUUAUUAAGAAACUCAUGGCGGAAGGUGGAUGCGGAGCUUUUGACAUGGUGCUACUCGAUGGCUAUAAGGGUAUUAAUGUCGCGUGGGUUAGGGAGGCCAUCAAUCAGAAUGCUCUAGACUCUAGUUUUUGAUUCCGUUAAGCUUGCUACGGAGGCUUUGGCUGACAAGGGAAGUUUUUUUACCAAGGUAUUGUAAUAUGUAUAUGUUUAAUAAUAUAUCUUGUUCUUAUGUAACUAUGAACGAGGUUAUUUUGAAGCAAUUAAAUGUCACGGCUCGAACCUUCAACAAUGGCAGCUCUUCACUGUAACACAGAGAAUGCACUGAACUUAGCUGAAAUAGCUAAGAUUAUAUCACUAAACAAAGAUAAAAAAGAGAAGGGGAAUAAGAUAAAAGAGAACUUUAGAAGAAAGAGAGGAGAAGUGUUGAACGAUUUCAACCGCCACUGAAAAUAUCAUGUUACCAAAGCUUCCAGAACCAUUUGCCCCCUUUCUGCAUCUAUAGGCUCAGCUGGAAGUCGUAUUACCAAAAAUGAAAUAAAGAAAACGUGUUUCAACAAAACAUAUUACAAUUUCAUUUAAUUCAAAACGGCACCGUAUGACUUUGAAUUCCAGUUGCUCUUCUUGGCUUCUUCUUUCCUUCUUCUAGUUCUGCUUCUUUUCCCUCCCCAAUUACUCUUCACGUGACAACCCUUCACCUCACCUUGAUCUUGUCCCCAAGAUCCACAGUAGGGAAACUGUAGUUUGAUCCAAUCGGUGUCUUCCCAGGUUUCACAAUCUAGAGUAGAAUUUGACCAAUGAAUAAGCCACUGGAUGGUGGUGUUAUUUUUUUACGAGUAAUGGUCCUGGACUGUAAGAUGGAUAAUGGAUGAUAUGUUGGUAGUUUAGACCGAUUCUCAUCAGGCAAUUGAAGUACUGGCAUUGCCCUGUCACCUAACUUCUUCUUGAACAAUGAAACAUGAAAGACUGGAUGAAUUCUGGAGCUGGCAGGAAGUGCCAAUUUGUAUGCCACCGUGCCUAUCUUCUUGGUAAUCUGAUAUGGUCCAAAGUAUCUAGCUCCCAGCUUGUGAUUUAUCCUGUGUUCCACUGAUUAUUGUGUGUAAGGAUGAAGCUUGAGGAAGACCCACUCUCCUUCAUUAAAAGACCUCUCAGAACGCUUCGUGUCAGCAUAUAGUUUCAUCUUUGCUCCUGCUUGUGCUAAGUUUUCUUUCAGCUGUUGAUUUAGUUGGUACCUAUGCUGUAGUAAUUCUUCGACUGCAGCCACAUUGGACUGCUGGUAAAGAUCUAAUGAGAGCUGAGGAGGCUUGAUCCCAUAAAGAGCUUCAAAGGGAGUCAUUCAGAUAGAGGAAUGAUAGGAGGUAUUGUACCACCACUCAGCUAAUGAUAACCACUUACCCCAUUGUUUAGGAUGUUGAAAAGUCAUGCACUGUAGGUACAUUUCAAGGCACUGCUUGAGUCGUUCUGUCUGCCCAUCAAAUUGAGGAUGGUAGGUAGAACUUAAAUGCAGCUGGAUACCCAUGAGUUUAAACAAUUCUUGCCAGAAUUUGCUUGUAAAUAUCUUAUCCUUGUUAGAAAUGAUGUUCUGAGGUAUGCCUUGAAGUUUAAAAAUAGAAUCAAGGAAAUUUUUGGCAAUUGUCACGGCUGUGAAUGGAUGCGGAAGUGCCAAGAAAUGACCAUACUUUGUAAAUCUGUAGACCACCACUAAUAUAGUAUCUUUACCUCCUGAAUUAGGCAAUCCUUCAAUGAAGUCCAUACUAAUGUGGCUCCAAGCAUGUAGAGGCACAGGAAGAGGCUUUAACAAUCCAGGGUAAGGCACAUUCUCCCCUUUACACUUCUGGCAGAUUUCACACUGGAGACGUCAGUUUUGAUGUCUCGGUUCAUGCCAGGCCCGUAAAAAUGUUGCUUUGCUUUGUAGAUGCUGCCAUUAUGCCCUCCUUCUUGAGACCCAUGAAUAUUCUGAAUUAGUUUAGAUUUGAUAUUACCCCCUGAACCUAUGUAUAACCUGCCUUUAUACUUCAAAAUAUUGUUGAGGUAUAGGAAGUCUGGAUCUGCUGUUGAAUUUAAGAUGACUGACUGGAUUUUCUCCCUAGCAAAGUUGUCCUCCUUGUAGCUAUCAAUAACUCUUGUAUCCAAGUGGGAAUAAAAGUGGUGAUUCCCGCACACUCCACCUCUUUCUCAUGCCUCCUUGACAAUGCAUCAGCUACUAAGUUAUCAAUUCCUCGUUUAUACAAUCUUUCAUAACUGAGUCCCAACAAUUUAGUGAGCCAUUGCUGUUGAAGAGGGGUUGUAAUCCUCUGUUCUAAAAGAUAUUUGAGAGAUUGGUGGUCAGUCUUUAUGAUGAAGUGGUGGCCCUCUAAAUAAUGUCUCCAUUUACUAACAGCAGUGACUAAGGCUAGUAGUUCCUUUUCGUAUAUUGACAUACCCCUGUUCCUGAUUCCAAUAGCUUUGCUUAGGUAAGCUAGAGGCCUUCUGCCUUGCAUUAGCACAGCACCAAUUCCACUUUGGCAAGCAUCGGUUUCAAUGAUAAAGGGUUGAUGGAAAUCAGGUAAAGCAAGCACAGGCGUUGAACUCAUGGCUUGUUUUAAUCCUUCAAAGGCUAAAUCUCCAGCCUCUGUCCGUUGAAAAUUGUCUUUCUUAAUCAUAUCUGUUAAUGGCCUGGCUAUCACCCCGUAACUCUUGACAAACUUCCUGUAAUACCCAGUCAACCCUAGGAAGCCCCUCAAUUGUUUGAUAUUCCUAGGUUUAGGCCAUAGCUGCAUUGCUUCCACGUUGCUGGGAUCAGCAGAGACUCCUUCUUUGCUAAUAAUAUGACCUAGGUACUCAACCUUCAAUUGCCCAAAACUGCACUUGGACCUCUUGGCAUAUAGUUGAUGUUUCUAUAAUAUCCCUAUUACUGAUUCUAGAUGUUGGCAAUGAGAGGAUAGAUCAGUGCUGUACACUAAAAUAUCAUCAAAAAAUACUAAGACGUAUCUCCUCAGCUGGUCCUUGAAUACCUCAUUCAUGAGGCUUUGGAAGGUAGCGGGUGCAUUGGUGAGGCUAAAGGGCAUCACCUUGAUCUCAUACAGCCCUUGUUGUGUUUUAAAUGAAGUCUUAUGAACAUCUCUUUCAGUAACCCUUAUAUGAUGAUAACCUGCUCUAAGAUCAUUUUUCGAAAAAAACUUCGCUCCAUGAAGUUCAUCUAAUAGUUCAUCAAUAAGUGGCAUUGGGAAUUUGUCCUUGAUUGUUAAGGCAUUCAACUGCCUGUAAUCAACACAGAAUCUCCAAGUCCCAUCUUUCUUCUUGACAAGGAGUACAGGUGAGGCAAAAGGACUAUUGCUUGCUUGUAUAAUCCCAGAUUCCAGCAUUUCUUUAAUCAACUUUUCUAUCUCUGUCUUCUGAAUGAACGGACACCUGUAGGGUCUUAUUUUAAAAGGCCGGGCACCUUCUUUAAGAGGAAUGUGGUGGUCAUGUGAUCUUGGUGGAGGCAGCCCUUUUGGUUUCUUAAACACCCCCUAGAAUUGAUGGAUUACUUCCAGUAGUUUGCUAGGUACCACCUCUUUGGGUUUUUCCUCUUUAGGGGCAUAUAAUUGUCCCAUAACUCCAUAGUGAUUCUUGUCCAUUAUCCUUUCCAUCGCUUGUGCCUCUAUCAUGUCCACUGAUAAUUUUGAUACUUCAUCUCUGAACUUCACCUCAGUGUUCUGUCUCUUGAACUUCAUAACCCUCAGCAAAAUCAAAUUCAAUAGGGCCAAAUUGGUUCAUCCAAUUCACUCCCAAAACCAUGUCACUUCCUGCCAACUUAAGGGUCCUAAGCUUUUAUUGGAAUUCCCAACUUUGAAUCUUCCGUACCACUGGUUGACAAAUGGCUUUACUUUCUAGUUUAUCCCCAUUUGCUACCCUGACAGUUACUUUGUUGGACUCUUCAGUGUUGUAUUUCAACUCUCUAGCCAAUGUCUCAUCUAAAAAACUAUGAGUGCUCCCAUCGUCUAUUAAGGUGGAUAUUAUUUUUCCCCCGAUGUUUCCUAGUACCUUGAUGAACGAUUUCAACAAUACCACUGAAAAUAUCAGGUUACCAAAGCUUCCAGAACCAUUUGUCCCUUUUCUGUAUCUAUAGGCUCAGCCGGAAGUCGUAUUACCAAAAGAAAAUAAAGAAAACGUGUUUUAACAAAACAUAUUACAAUUUCAUUUAAUUUAAAACGGCACCGUAUGACUUUGAAUUCCAGUUGCUCUUAUUGGCUUCUUCUUUCCUCCUCCUGGUUCUGCUUCUUUUCCCUCCCCAAUUACUCUUCACGUGACAUUAAAAUUGACUCUAAUUCCAGACUUGGAUACUUAAUUAUAGCUUUAAAAGUUUAAUGUUAAUGGUUUAUUGUAUUUAGAACACAUAAGCACUCUAAUAAAUAUUUUAUGUUUGAAAAGGUGAUACUUGCGAAUUAGUUGAUGCAAUUUGUGUAAGCAAUUUGCAAACAUAGGAUUUGAAAGUUUUAGGUGUUUCUGGAAUGAAUUAAGCUAUUUGCAAAGUUGAAGAAAAUUUAUGGAUUUUUGGAGUUUAUUUUGUGCGCCUGCAGGUAAGGUUGUGCAACGGGUGUCAUGUUUCUUACAAGCAAACUAGUGGCUUUCAGUGUUCCUUAUGUCCAUACUUGCAAAUAUAUUGGGUUCAGUGUCAUGUUCCACAAGUGAAUUUGGGUAUCUUGGCUGAAACUUAUUCUGGAUUUGAAUUCCUUUCUAAGUUUUGUACCGUUCUGGUUCCCUGCACGCAUACAAGACAGCAACUGCUGAUGUUUACAUUUAGCUUUUGCAAUCACUAUUUUCUUGGGGUAUUAUGACUGAGGAAAUGUAUUUGUCAAUUUUUGAACCAAGAAUUGUUUCUCUUUGAUCCUCACAUAGACAUUCCCCUCUCAGGGAAACGAAGCUCUUUAGGAUUUAUUAUUUAUUAUGAAAUAUUACGUUGCACUUUUUCUGAUGUGUCUCCAUGUAGCUUCACAAAAUCACUACUCAAGUCAACCUUGUCAAGUUGGAAAUGAAUGCAUGACGUGUCUGUUGUUGCCUUGUAGGUCCUCAGAUCCGAUAUUGUAGUGGUAAACUUUUCUUAGUCAGGUAAUCUUAUUUCCUAUGAAGCGAACCCAAAAGCAUCCGUUCUGAUUGAAGGCACAUUAUCACCUUUGUAUUUGGUAUACAGCUCUUUGAAAAAGUUGAAGUGUGUAACUGAAAAGAUAACUUUAGAGGAGAAUUUUAUGCUGUCGAGUUGAAGUAUAAGGCACCUGCUAAAAUGAUCCUGAUCUUCUAUCCAUAGAGCAUCUGUUACGAGAUAAAGAGCAUCAAAAGGUAGUCCAAUCCCUCCACAUUAUCUGCAUGUUAUCUUUCUAUCUUAUAGAAUCAAUAUGUUCAGGUAGUGGAUGCAUUUAGAGUAAAGAAGCAAAAGCAAUACCGUGAUGAGUAUAUUUUCUUCUCGCUAAUAAUUCAUAAAAUCUGCAACUCUCAGCCAAAAACAUUGUUGCUUGCUUGACAUAUAGAAGAAAAUUUUAGUUUAUAUCUGAGCUCAACUGAAUAUGGUCUUUUUGCGCAUCAUGGAGUAUUGGUGUUGUGAUCACGACAUAUCAAACUAAGCUAGUGUGUAGAGUCUAGAGAAAAAUCUAGUAGAGUGAUCUUUUGCACUUUUAUCCCUUUUGCAGUCUUAUCAAUUCAUCGGGAUAUACCACAUACAUGUUUCUUAAGCUCAUACAGGACAAAUCCUUCACUCAAGCCUACUACUAUCACUAGAUUCCCAGACUGCUAUACGUGUUUAAUAAUAUGAAAUUAUAUCUUAUUGAAAUCCUUUCUACUUACUGCACUCCAACGAAACUUACCUAGACACUCUACGUUAUCUCUUUCUUUCUUUCUUUCUUUUUUUUUUUUUUUUUAUAUAAUCAAUAAAAUUCGUUUGCAAAUCAUGUUUCUUUUGUGUGUAAUUUUUCUUGAAUCUCGUGACUGGGGUUCAUAUAAAUAUAAGUUCAUGUUUUUAUAUAAAAGUAUUUACUAGGUUCACUUUUUAGGCAUGAAGAUGGUAAUGCAACUUUGAGGAAAGUCUGCUCUGUAGGAUUUUGUUUGGUCCAGCUAUUUACUUUAGAAGCUUGGUUUAGUUACUUCUAAAGCUUUUGAGAUGUAUGUAUGUUUAUAUAUUAAGGAUAAAGAUGAAGAGAUGUUGCUUCCUCUUUUGUGAAUUGCUUUCUCUUUUCUUCUAUUUAUAUUCUUAUUAUGCAAGUGUUGUUAUAGUAGCUCUUAUUGUGCUGCUUUUGUAUUUUUGAAUUUUUUUAUUCAUUUGACUCAAGCACGACCCCUAAAAUUCUUUCACAUGACAUGCACGACCCCUAAAAUUCUUUCACAUGACAUACUUCAUCAACUCUGCCUCCCUCUCAUUCCUCUGCUUAACAUCCACCAUCAUCGAUUUAGUGAUCCCUCUCCAUUCUUCUCUCAACUUCUUCAUCCUCCUCUCCUCAUGUCCCCAUAUUCAUUUCCACAUACAUCGUUGCUUCAAUACUCAUAGAUGCAAUCAUCUCCUCCAGUGUUUCAUUUGUUUAUACAAGUCCAUAGCCUCGCACCGUCCAAAGGAUCUCAUUUUUCCCUUAAAAUCAAGGGAAUGCAUGUACUUUGACUACAUCUUCAAAUGUGUGUGAUUGAUUGCCCAUUUUAGCAAUUUUAUCCUCAAAUUUUAGAAGAUCAUCCAUUGUAGAGCGCUCUUUUAGAUUUUAAUGAUAUAGGCAUAAUGAGAGAUUGAAUUUUCAAUGGAUGGUCUUAUAAGAUUUGAGGAUAAAAUUGCUACAACGAGCAAUCAAUCUCACACAUAUGAAGAUUUAGUCAAAGUACAUGCAUUCCCUUGAAUUUAAGGGAAAAAUGCGACCCUUUGGGAUGGUGCGAGGCUAAGGACAUAUAUAGACAAAAUGAAACACUGAAGGAGAUGAUUGCAUCUAUGGGUAUUGAAACAACGGUGUAUGUGGAAAUGAAUCUGGGGGUAGGAGGAGAGAAGAAUGAAGGGGGAUCACUAAAUCGAUGAUGAUGGAUGUUAGGUAGAGGGAGGCAGAGCUGAUGAGGAGGCAGCUGGACACAUAAGUAUGCCGUGAAAUAAUUUUGGGAGUUGCGCUUUAGAAAUGAGUCAAAAUGAAUAAAAAAAAUUAUGAAAGCAGCACUAUAACAACAUUUGCAUAAGAAUAAUAGAAAAGAGAAAGCAAUACAUCUUUAUCCUUAAUGUAUAAACAUGUCAAAGACUUUGGAAAUAACUAAACCAAUCUUCUUAAGUUAAUAUUUGUGCUGCACAUUUUUUGACCAGCAAUCCCACGUCCAAAGAACAAUUUAGGCUCGGUAGGAAAAUUUGGCAUGAAGAUUAACUUACCAAGGCUUUGCAGUUAUUCUCAAAGCAUUCAAUUUAUCCAAGGGAUCAUAAUCUAGUAACAUCAUUUAUGCCUUUCCACGUGCAAUACUCUUUCAGGUGACUAUCUAGAAACUUGCAGAUAUGAGAUGACUGGUUUAGGAUACAAUUCUCUAAGCACCAUGAUGAACAGCUUACUGAGCACCCUUUUCAUGCAUAAUUUUGAGACAAAGGUGCACACAUAUUUUGAAAGCAAGGUAAAUACACCAGAUCACCACCAAGUUUGAAUCGCUUCUAUGUAAGCUAUAAGUCUAGACACAGCUGUAAUUUGAAUAGUAUUUUCAUCUUUAUUCACUUAUGUCUCUUUUCAUUGAACAUUUAGUUAGUUUUCAUCUCGAUGGAAGCAUAAUAUUUCAAGUCGACAAAUUUGCCACCUCUCUUCAAGCAUCAACGUUUUGUUUCAUCUCAUGUAUUAUCGGUGUUCUGAAUUCCUUAUUCGAACAUCACCAACAAUAGCAAGACGACAAACUUGUGCAAUCAUGAAUUAUCCAUAAAACAAUUUAGCAACAUGUGCUUUGCUCGUAAAAUUAACAAAUGGCAACUAAGAAUGUCUUGUGAUUACCUGGUACCUGGAUUUGUCGUGGGAUCAUUGUCCACAACAAAUGGUCCAAAAAACUCAAAAAGUCAUCAUAAUCAUCCUGAUUAGUGAACCUACUGGAGCUUCUAGAGAAUGAUUUAGGUGGUGAGAUAUUUGAUAAAGGUUCAUCCUUUGACAUUCUUCAAGCCACAUCUUUCUCCAAAGAGAACAACCACAACAAACAAAAACAACCAUUGAUUGAAGUACUUGGUAGGGAAAGAAAGGAAUUUUAUAUGCAAUAAUGAAAAAAGCAGAAUACCUUAUCAGCUGUUGAGCUUGUCUUGUAUAGGCCAGAACGUGCAUUAUCUUAACAACACUGGUGAGGGAGGCGACAUUUAAUUCAGAAUAUGUGGGUGAGGGUAAUAGGUUUACUGAAGGUGAUGAUGCGUUAUACAAGUCAUAGCUUCAGUUAUGGUGCCUCCCAAGUGGAGAUGAAGUCGGGGAACUUUGAGACAUGGGACCGGAUGAGAACCUUUUGAGUAGCUCUACCAAUUGACUCCCAACAUAUUCUAGAAUAAAUUGUGUAACUGUCGAAUUCCUCAUUAUAAUGGUCCCUCUCCUUCCCCGACAAAUUCCUCACAAGUCUUCUUUUAGGGGAAAAGUUUAACGGAUCAUUGUUGACUGGACUCUGAACCAAAAUCACAUUAGUUAUCAUUAGUUUUACAUAACUCUGUCGCCAAAAGUUUAUAUACAAGGGAUUGGAAAAAGCUCAAAGCCUCAAAGGGUAUUCUUCCCUCUAUAUAUAUGUCAGUAUUUACUACCCACUGUGAUUACAGUACUUAAGAGAGAGGACGAUGAAAUAGGAGAAUUGAGCAAUUUUAGAGAGAGAAUGAGAGGUAUAGUGGUAAGAGUUUGUGAGGAUUGGUAUGCAAUUUGGAUAAAGAACUUUGAUUUUAAAAUUUUUCAACCCUUUUGGGUGAUUUUAACUACACCGGCUCAUUUCUGUUUGUCUCUCAUUCUUUCGAAAACUCUUUUUUCUAUAUAUUUGUUUUCAAUAACACAUUCAUACAAUAAAUUUUAAUCCAUUUUUCUCUCUUAUUAUAAAUCACGCAUUCUCUUAACAAAAUAAUAUUACACGUAAAUCCCGAAGUUCUUUUUACUUUUUAACUACACAUUUUUCAAAAAAUAUUAUUCCAAAAUCAAUUUUUCUCAAAUAAUGAAGCUCAAACAAGGGCUAAAUAUUUUACAUGUAAAUUUAAAACUUUUCUCGACUUUUUAACCACAUAUUCUUCAAAAAUUCAUUAUUUAAAAUAAUGGUUUUUCCCCCCAAAAAAUGCCCACCAAACAAGGGCUCAAACAUAUCCGUGUCAUAUUAUUAAAAAAAAAAAAAAAAAAAAGCUUUUCUUACAACCCCACGUCUUAUAAAAAUAGUCAUAUUUUGUUUUUCACACGGAUUAAAAAAAUUUAGUUAUCACACUUGAAACAAUAAAUGUUACUAUCAUUCUUCCUAACAUACUUCUACAUUCAUGCAAUCAAUAUUGAAGGUAAUUAAAUUAUAUUUGUGAUGACAAGGACAUUAAAUAAGAGCAAUUAAUGUAUUAACUACAGUUCCAAAUAAAAAAUAGGAAUAUAAUUCGGCAGAGACAAAAAAGGAAAACAGGACUUUUUUUAUGGGACUUAGGGAAGAAUAAUUAAGAAUUUAUUGAAAGUUUAUAAAUAUUUCAACCUUGUUUUGAGCCUAAUUUUCACCGGAAAGGGAAAAAGAGUUUGCAAAUGAGUUUUUGGAUAAUGAGGUUCAAAAGAAAUUUACUAUAAAUUGAGAAAUAUGAAAAAUUUAGCUAUUGAUAUUCUUGCACUUUACAAUAAAUUGAGAAAUAUGAAAAAUUUAGGGGCUGUUCUUUUCGUGCUUCAAUUUUAUAGUUUUGAGUUUUGAAUUAAUUUUGGAUUUUGAGUACCUAUUUCAAAAUUGCUAAAAAUACGUUUUUUUGUCAUUUUGAAAAACUGUUUCUCAAAAUAUAAAACUGAAAAACGCGUUUACUUUGAAAUUUUGAGAAUAUUUUUUUAUAAUAUUUUAUUCAAGAAAUAUGAUUAUUCAAUAAAUUUUAAUAGAUUAAUGUUCAUGUAAUAUUAAUUAACAUAUAAAUUUUGAAGUUGGUGAAUCUUGAAAUAUUUUUUGAUAGAGAUAAAAAACACAACUGAAAUUAAAUUUGGUAAAACAGUUCAAUAGACACUAUUAAAAAUUUACGUGUCAUAGCAAAACAAGCAAACACUAAACAAAAUAUAAAGUACAUCCGUGGAAUCAUGUACGACGUCUUGAGUAGUCAUUCCACAUUUGUGUAGCAAUUUGAUCAUUUACUUGUCCCAUUUGAACUGUUUGACUAGCAUCAAAAUUUAUGACUUCUUAAUCUUGAUUUGACUCCGGCAAAUUCUCCUCUGAUUACUCAACGACCAACUUAUCUAAAGUGUGCUCCUGACGAAUAAAGUUGUUUAUUGUGCAAUAUGCAGUAAGGAUUUGUCUUUGGUUACUAAGUGGAUAAUUGGUAAUCAACUUCAAAAUAGGAAAUUUUGCAUUUAAAACUCCAAUACAAUGUUCAAUAAUGUUACGGCAUGAGGAGUGUCUAUAGUUAUACAAUUCUUCCUUCCCACUUAGUCUUCCGCAUCCAACAUAAUAAUGUAGAUGAUAUCUUUGACCUCGAUAAGGAGCAAGAAAUCCAGGCAUGUUUGGAUAUCCAGAAUUAACAAGAUAAAGUUGAUCUGCAAAUUAAAAAAAAAAAAAAAGUUUCCUUAGUAUGACGCUGUAAAUAUGUUUGCAACGAUUAUUUGAAGUAUAGGAAUAUACCUCGUGGCAUUGGGAAGUUUUUUGAGUUCUUGUGGCUGCGUCAACGAAUACUCGCGAGUCAUUAGCAGUACCUUCCCAACCAGAAUACGCAAAUGUGAAUUUCAUAUCAAAAUCACGUGUCAACAUCACAUUUUAUGUUACAUUAGCUUUCCUUACACGAAAAGAUGUUUGUCUUAAUGCAGGUGCCCAAACUGCAACAUGUGUUCCAUCUAUUGCGCCUAUACAAUCCUUAAAGAAAGGAUAUUUGUGCAAAAUUCGCUCAUGCAUAGUGUCUUGAUUUGUCGGAUGGAUUAUCUCGGUGCCAAAUGAACAAACAGCCCUUAUAAUUCGUUUAAAUUAUUUGUGUAUGGGGUGUUGAAAUACUGUAACCUAUCACCAAUAACACUGUAUCGUGUAGUGUGCCCUACAAUCAUAAAAGACAUAGCAACACCCUCCUCGACGCUCACCUUUUUUUCCAUCUUUUAGCAACCCUCUCUCUUUCAAAAUAUCAGAAAAAUUCAUGAAAACAUGUUUCUGCAUACAAAAAUUACGAUAGCACGCGUCCGGAUGUCCAUUUAGAAUUUCUAGUGUGUACAUUUUUCCCAUAAGCAAUAAUGUUCUACAAGCUUGCUAAUGGUACUUCCUUUGUUGGCAACAAAGCAAUUAAGCAUCAUUAAAUCUCUAAAAUUUGCGUCAAAAUCAUUCAUAAAUAAAAAAUCAUCAUCAUUCGAAUCUUCGUCAAUGUAGUAUCAUCCACAUUUGAUUCACUGGUCAUACUGUGAACAAAAUAUAACCACAAUUAUUAUCAUAAGUCAUAUCAACCAUCAUUCUUUCAAAUAAAACAAGCAAUCAAGCAUUCAGAAAUUAAAGAAAAAUUAACAUCAGUUCUCUAACGAACAACAUUACUAAGUUCGUAAAUGAAAACAGUACAUCACCAUGAAAGGAAAAAAAGUACUUCAAGCUGUGAAAAUAACACAGUACCUUAACCUUCAACAUCACAAAUUAAAACAUGAUGCUAGAAAAAUUAAAACAGUAGUAACAUCAAAGUAGUUCUAAGAUAGGUCCUCUCUUUGCUUUUGGCAGCUUCACAAAUGACACCCUAAAAUCGGGAUCCUUAAAAGCUUUUAUCUCUUUCAUAUAAACCUCAUUAGAGACCCCUUCCAUCUUGUUUAAGAUGUCCAAACAAAUAACAUUUGAAUAAGGAACCGGACUAUUAAUUUCACUAUCCAAUUGAUUACAUGAUUUUCCUUGAAUCUUUACAAGCUUUUCUUUUAGGUAAAGUGUUUUAAGUUUAGUUUCUUCAUUCCUUAAACUAAUUGUAGAUGACCAUUGUACCAUGCAGGCCUCAAGUUUAUCACUUUUACUAAUCCUAGGUUCCUUACGUCGAUGUUCACCCGAUGUGCCAAUUUCGUCAUGUCGACGAGUAUUUGAAGCCUUAUCGACUUCAUUAUCAUUUUUUGCACGUCUAUGCACUCCCCUGUUCAAAAAAUCAUCUUUUAACUACCUUUCUUCCUCUGAUGUGUUUGGAAGCUGAGUGGAGGCCUUGUCUAAUCCUGCAAUAGCUGUAGUCCCGUUAAAUAUGUCCCCAAGAGUGUGGUAGUGCUUAUAUCCUUCCCUCUUGAACAUCUUGUAAUCAGACUUGUUAAUCUGUUAUUGAAAAAAGAAGCCACAUGUCAGUGUUCAAUAAGAAAAAUGUAAAAUUGAUAGGAUAAAAACUAAUGACGAAAAUAUUCUGUAAUAUAUAUAUAUAUAUAUAGACACCAUAUAAAAGUGUUGCCAUAAUUUCUACCUGAAUGUCCCAGAAGUUCAAAGAACAUGCGAUGAAUCUUAUAUAAACGGUUCCACUUUCCCUUUAAUCUAUCUAUGCCGUAAUCCAUUUUUGUUGAAGCUAUCAUGGUUUCAUUGAUCAUACCCCAUUCGUCUUUCAUGAAUGUAGAACAUUGUAAUGCGUUUGAUUUCACUUUUUCGUAAAGAAUUUCGAUAAAAGCAUGUUCGGUCUCGUCCGACCAUGACAUUGGUUUCUUAUCCCUACCUCUUUGACCACCCAUUUUCAAGCUACACUGAAUAUACUUCAAAUUAUCAAGAAAUAUAUAAGACCGUCCAUAGUCUACUCCAUACGUGAUACAUUGAAAGACAAGAUAUGUUUUGCAUGUGAUUUGCUUUUUCAAGUAUGGAAAAGAUUGCUUUUUAAACAUUUUUUCUGCAAUCAGAUUAAUGAUUCUUAUUUUUUCUUAGAUGAUACAAUCUUAUUUUUUCUUCCCUACUUGAUAUAAUGUUUAUGUUUAUGAUUGUUCAAAUCGAUCUUGAAUCACUUCUGAUCGUGAACUCGUCAACAUGGAGAUAUUCUAAAUAUCAUUUUUAAAUCCAUGUACUGGGUUAAAAUAUAAAACUUCGGCUGAUUGAUGACAAUGGAAAGGGUAACACUCAUUACUUCCGGGAAAAGGGCACCAAUUAAUCAUGUUAGUGAAUCCUUCCUUUCAUAAGAUCAGUCCACAAAAGGGAACUUGCCUUAAGCGUGGUCCAGCAAGAUUACAAUUUCAGACUUGCCACCGAAAAUACUCAAGCCACAGAGAAUCAGCUAAGGUUGAAGCAUCCCACGAAAUUAGCAUGAAACAAUUAUUGGAAAGAAAAUAAGCUAAAAGUAGCCCAAUCAUUGAACUUCGGACAGAUUUGAUUUUGCAAUAGCAGAAUGUCGUCCUAUAAUAUGCUGCCAAAAUAUAAAGAUCUAAAGCCAGAUUCAAGAAUUCUAAAGUCACUACAACAAAAAAGUGUUUUUACAACAUAUAAAAUGCAACAUUCAUCAAUUAAAUGUUGACAAAAGGGUCUAUUGCAACAUUCUAAUAAGUGAAUGUUGCCAUUGGUGUUAAUAAUUGAGAUUUGGCAACAUUUUUGAAGUCAAUGUUGCUAAUGUCUCCUUUUGCAACGUUUAUUUAGUGUUGCGAAACUUUUUAUAUUUGCAACGCUUAUCAAACGUUGCGAAAAACCCUUUUAGCAAUGUUUUUUGCAAAAGAUCAAAAACGUUGCGAAAAAUGAUCUUUCACAACGUUUAAAAAAAGUUGCGAAAUGUUAUCUAUUUUGCAAUGUUUGACAAACGUUGCGAAAAGUUGAACCUUUCGCAACGUUUUAUAAAUGUUGCAGACUCUCUUUGUUUAAAAAUAUUAGGCCAAUAGAGAAAAUCAAUAAUCCAGUCCAAAAAAACUCCAAACCCUUCCAUUUCCAUAUUUACCCCAACCCUUGCUGCCGGCAUAUAGAGGGAAAAACAAUUCCCAUUUUAUUUCUUUUGCCAAUCGAUCCCUCAAAUCCUGUAACGGAGAGACGAUUUUUUUAUUUGUUGGGCAACUGAUCUGCUGGGUAUGCAUUUGCAAGCAAGGUUUUCUUUUUAUGUUAUGAAAUAUGAGAAUAUGUUUGUCUUAGACAUAUACAGAUAGAAAUAAACGCUCACAGAGAUAUGAAUAUAUUCAAAUUGAAUAAAUAAAUAAUAUAUAAUUUUUAAUGAACCAUAUUACUUUCUGAAGCUAAUGAUAGUUGAUGCAUUUUUUUGGUUAAUUUUUGGUUCUAGAAGGGCACGUUUCUGUUCGUCUCUUUAUUGUUGGUUCUUGAAGGGUAAUUUUCUGUUAGUUGAUUAGCUAUUCGUCUUUUCCCCCUUUGGGAUCUAUGAUAGGUAAAAUUGGUGACUCUACCAUAAUUAUCCACUGUGUUUAUGUGUUGUUAAGUAUGCUAUACCUGUAAAUUAAUGUUAGUCAAAAUAUUGAUCUGGGAAAAUGCAUUUUGCUAGUCUAUGUUUAUCAAGUAUUUUGUCUGAUUAGUGUGUAUUAGUUAACAGAUUGAGCUUCUGUUUCUUGCUAGUUGGGUCAAACACUUCGUCUACUUAUGGUUUAUAUAGUCCUUCUGCUGUUUCUGGAUUUUGUUUAUAAAAGAUUGAGCUUUCUUAUCUUUAUUAUGCCAUUUUAAGUGCUAGAUACCCCUUUUAGAGAAUAAAUCCUGCUUAGAACAUCAUAUUUCUAAUGCUUAGCUAUUUUUGUCCUUAAUGCAGCUUUUUUCGUAGUCAAUAUAUAUUGCUAGAUUUGUCGUGCUACAAUUAAGAGAUCAUUUAAAAAGUUCUUUGUUUGAUUAGAUUUAGAGAGAGUUAGCUCAAGAUGAUUUUCUUAACGAGCUCUCAAACAGGCCCUAAGGAUGAUUAUUGGGGGGCUGGGGGUAUCUUUAGGAAAAAUGGACAUUCUGUGUGAACUUUUGAAUAAUAGUAGACCAAAUGAUGAUGCAGUUUGAUUUCUAUGGCUGAAUCUCAAACUGCAUUAAGGUCAAGAAGCUAUGCAUAUUUUAGUUUCUAUUAUUCAUAAUAUUCCAAGAUAGGCAAGUUUUUAAAAGAAAUUGUCAAGUACUUGUUUUGCAACUGAUUCAUUGUUCCUUUAUGCAAAGGUCCUGAUGUUGGACAUUUUUUUUUUUUGCUAUUGCUAGUGGUAAAAGAGAUUUUGCGGAAUUCAGUGUGAACAAGCCUGGAAAGAACAUUCGUGCCAUUGCUGUUUGAUGUUGGACGCUAUUUGCCUGUUAUAAAUGAGAAUUCAGCUCGUAGAAAUCUGUGUACUGUCAAGGAUUAGAGAACACAAUGACAGUAUUGCAAAGUGAGAUGAAUGCACCUUAGCCGCUUUAUUUCGUUUUUCAUUUUAUUCUCCAUUCGUUGACUGCGGCUUUUUUUUUUUUUUUUUUUUAGUUU